AUUUUUAUAGUUUAAAAAAAACAUUGUAUUUUCAUUACAAAAUUGAAAUUUAUUUUCUAUAAAUU
rnacentral:tRNA from 1 species